rnacentral:misc_RNA from 1 species
ACACAAUCAAAUAAACAAAAAGCACAGACAAAAGCAACCAGUACCUAGAUGCAUCAGAUCUAUGAAAAAAAAGAAGAAAUCGAUGUAAAUCAAGAGCUGAAACUUUGAAAUUGUAAUGAACCAAACAGAUGCCUCGUAAUAAAACAAUAAGUAAACAGAUGCAGAUCUAAAUCUGGAUCUUCUACAACAACCACAACCAAAUCCAUGGCGUUAUUUCCCUUUGCAUGUCUUA